CACGUAGGGUGCGAGCGUUGUCCGGAAUUAUUGGGCGUAAAGAGCUCGUAGGCGGUGUGUCGCGUCCGCCGUGAAAACCUGCAGCUUAACUGUGGGCUUGCGGUCGAUACGGGCAUCACUGGAGUUCGGCAGGGGAGACUGGAAUUCCUGGUGUAGCGGUGAAAUGCGCAGAUAUCAAGCGGAACACCGGUGGCGAAGGCGGCCUGCUGGACAGGGACUGACACUGAGACGCGAAAGCGUGGGGAGCAAACAGG
rnacentral:rRNA from 1 species